rnacentral:misc_RNA from 1 species
GAUGAAGAACGUAGCGAAAUGCGAUAAGUAAUGUGAAUUGCAGAAUUCAGUGAAUCAUCGAAUCUUUGAACGCACAUUGCGCCCCCUGGUAUUCCGGGGGGCAUGCCUGUCCGAGCGUCAUUGCUGCCCUCAAGCACGGCUUGUGUGUUGGGCCGCCGUCCCCGGUUUCCCCCGGGGACGGGCCCGAAAGGCAGCGGCGGCACCGCGUCCGAUCCUCGAGCGUAUGGGGCUUUGUCACCCGCUCUGUAGGCCCGGCCGGCGCCAGCCGACACCCAACUUUAUUUCUAAGGUUGACCUCGGAUCAGGUAGGGAUACCCGCUGAACUUAAGCAUAUCAAUAAGCGGAGGA